GCUCCUGCUGCCUGGGGAGCUGGUGGGCAUAGGGCUGGCCUCAGUAUUUUUGAAACUCAUCGCUCUGCUUCAGCCCAGCUCCCACAGUGAGGUUUGAGCUGUUGGCUGAGGGUUUUUUAGGAGAUUCACCUCAGUGUCUGCCCAGUUACUGAGCUCCAGGAGGGCGGCGAGCUGCCUGCAUUACGGGCAGCACCGUGACUAGGGGUGCCUGGCCUCUGCUGCUGAGCCUGUGGGAACUGCUCAGGGAACAAAGUUUGUCAUCCUGAGACACCAGACCUUUGACGAGACUCAGGUAACCUCUGACAGCACGUACAGUGCUGACAAAGAGUCCCUGUCAGCCUUUGUGGAAGACUUUGAGACUUCAGUCAGCAUUGACUUUCUAGAAGACGAAGAGCGUGUUGGCGAAGUGCUAGACUGUGGUUCUUCGGAUCUAUCGGAUCGUGGAGGAACAGAAGAAGCUCAGCAUGAAGAUGAAAAGAUGACAGAAGCAGCAGCAUCCCAGAAGUUGUGAUCACACAGGCAGAUGAGGCUUUGUCUACCUAAAGGCUGAAAUGAAGCUAUACAUUAUUUGGCUGUUGACUCACAUCUUGUGGAGCUGGACCCCUGGAAAACACGGGUGUAUGUUGGUAGUGAAUUCUACAAGCUGGAAAUGCAGUAGACCUGAUCUGCUUGAUCUGCUUGGAAUUCAGUAAAACAUGAUGUGUUGCCCCUUGAGAAGUGCGGAGUUCAGCUGCUGAGGAUGAGGACUGGUGUGGGAUCUGUAAGUGGAAGAAGCGAAGAAGCUGUGAUGUUCUGGAGAUGACUUCUAGCUGUUAAUGGCGUGCAACAGCUCACACAAGUUCAUAUUCUCUGUUAUGUGAAACUAGAUCCCUAUUGAAAUACUCAUGAAAACAGUGACCUCGUGGCCUGCUUCACAGCUCUGUUAUUGAUCCUCCUCAUUAUAUAUUUCUUUAAAUGUACCUAGGUAUAUUUUUUUUCUAGCUUGAAGAACUGUGACUAUGUAUACCAUGAGGGAGUUUUGUUUGGGGUGCAGACAAUUAUAGGGAAUUUACCUCGGUGUUUAAUUUUUAUGCUUUAAUUCCUCAGUUUUAAAGGCAAGGCUACUUGAUCUGAUUUAUGAUGGCAGUGCGGAGUUGUGAGGGAAAAAAGAGAAAUUUUUGUUCAUUCAAACCACAUGGUUCUCAAGGCCUUGAAAAUUUUAGUUGCAUUAAACAUGGAAGGUACCAUCAUUUUUCACAGAUCUCCUUGAAAAUCCAUUUCUUGCACACACAAAAAAAAUCACAAUUUCACAAUGUUACAUGUUUAGAAAGUUGAAUGAAAAUACUCCGUGGCUAAUCUUGACAGUUUUAACUUGGAGAAAAGCCAAGGCCCCAGAACAAUGCACAGCCAGUGCAUUUGUAACACGAUACAGAAAUCAAUACACAUGACCAGAUUUUCCAGUCCACCACGCUUAUUUUGCAAACCCGUCAGAGGUCUGGCUGGGAGCAUUCCCCAUGUCAAGGAGACUUGCUGAUGGCCGAAAGCUGGUGAGGAUGGUAGAGCUGCCUCCACUGCCAGCUGGCCUAGCCCUCACGGCAGGAUGAGGGAGAGCACCCAAAGCGUGCCGGGGCUACCGAUGGCUGGAAGGGUGCAUGGGGCUCCAUCGCCCCAGAUCCCAUCCCUGUCUGUGCUGUCCUACUUAGGUGAUGCUAUAGCAGAAAUUACAUCAUGUGUCUGGUAGCUUUAACUUCUGAGGAAAUAGCUAAUGCUACAUACACUUUCUUCUUACCAAGAGGAGCAGAAACAUCUUUAAGUCGUGACCGUGUUUGCAUGACUGCACAAGUGUUGUGUUUGCUGUACUCACACCAGUUAAGGGCUUGUGCUCAGUGAGUCUGAUGUGGCCUCUUACAAACCCUUCAGACGGCAGUUUUGGAUAGUCUGAAGUUUCCCUGUACAGCAACCCUCCCUGCCAACAGCUACCUAAAGUUCUGGGGAAGGGUUCUUCUCUUGAAGCUGCAGCUUUGUGUGAAAGAGGCAGUAUUUUUAUAGGAGGACAAAGAGUUUGGGAAAAAAUGCUCUUGCAAAACCUAGCUCUUUUUGUUGUUGUUGUUUGUUUGUUUGCUUGUCUAGACAGCCAGGGUACUUUGCUUUGGACUGUGUGGUGUUGAAGGAUUUUAAUCCCCAAGCUAUUUUUGAUUCCUGGACACAUUUAUGACAUAUGCAGUCUUAGCUUUUUUUUUUUUUUUUUUCCUCCUUCAAGAUGCAUGCAUCCAUAGACUUGAAUGGGUGUAGGAAAGAUAAAUGGCUAAGGGAAAAGGAAAUUAGUCUGAAUGUUCUUAGAGCAGGAGCAAGGAGACUCUAUAAAGGCAGACUGUGUGACAGAGAUAAAAACUAAAUGAAAAUUAAGGCUCAAGAAGAGGCCUGACUGAUAGUGGAGAAAGGAAGUCCAAAUAUGUUGAGAUAAUACCCAAAAGAUGAAAUGUAAAAAAUGCUCCAUUAAAUCCCAUUUCCCUCUUACUUUGAUAUUUUAAUUUCCCAUUUCACUUCCUUUUAUAAUUUCCUUCCAUCCUUCCAAUGAUACUCACUCUCUAGUGAAAACGUACUGUUGCAAAUCAUUCUCCCAAAGACCGAUCCUUUAGCUCAGUAGUGUUCAGGAUCUACAAAUUUAGAUUUCGAUACCUAUCAGAAUACAGAGCUGGCAGGAGGGUUAGCUUUGCUUUAUAACUUUCUGGCUGGAAGUUCAGAAGUGGAAAGGCAAAAACAGUGAAAGGUACGUGUUCUUCCGAAAACUGAGAUACACAAAAUUAACACUUGCCUUGCAUUGUGAUGUGGAGCUCAAGUAUCCCCAUGAGCAGCUUUAGUUGUUUAAUUAUUUUCACUUUGUUGCUAGUUUCUUGUAUAUAAUAAUUUGUUCCCUUAGAUUUAUGUUAUUGCAGGCUACUGUCCAGCAAAGCACUUAAGCACUCGAUUAACUUUAAGCACAUAAGUAGUCCCGUUGCUGGACUGGGGCCAUAAUAAAGGAAGAGAAUGUUGCAA